rnacentral:tRNA from 1 species
ACCCUCUUCGUCUAACCCGGUUAGGACGCCGCCCUUUCACGGCGGAAACACGGGUUCAACCCCCGUAGAGAACA